UGGCUUGUCCAUUAUUAUCUAUUUACUGUGAACUGUAUUAUUAUUUGACAUUUGAGGGAUGUUCCAAUGUUAUAAGGAUAGACAUUGGAAAUGUUAACCGAGUCAUAAUCAGGUUUAGGCCUGGUAUCCUAUUAUUAUUUACCAAAUGAAUUCAGAAUUAAUAUUGUAACAUAGACCUAAAAAAUCUAUAAAACAACUUUUAACAACGGAUCUCUUGGUUCUCGCAUCGAUGAAGAACGUAGCAAAGUGCGAUAACUAGUGUGAAUUGCAUAUUCAGUGAAUCAUCGAGUCUUUGAACGCAACUUGCGCUCAUUGGUAUUCCAAUGAGCACGCCUGUUUCAGUAUCAAAACAAACCCUCUAUCCAACUUUUGUUGUAUAGGAUUAUUGGGGGCCUCUCGAUCUGUAUAGAUCUUGAAAUCCCUGAAAUUUACUAAGGCCUGAACUUGUUUAAAUGCCUGAACUUUUUUUUAAUAUAAAGGAAAGCUCUUGUAAUUGACUUUGAUGGGGCCUCCCAAAUAAAUCUUUUUUAAAUUUGAUCUGAAAUCAGGCGGGAUUACCCGCUGAACUUAA
rnacentral:rRNA from 1 species